ensembl:lncRNA
GAUUUCUCCUGCUAUUGUUUGAAAUUAUGAAAGCAAACUUCUUCAUCUCAAUGAGACUUUUUUUUCUGUUUUUUCUUUUCUUUCAGAGAGUAGUCUGAAAGGAUUAGAAGAUCCAUGGAAAUGGAAGCUUUCAGAAGGAGGAAGGGUGAGGUCUGUCUUGAAGAACUCAUCCCCACAGAAGCAAGAGGGAGCCUGUGCCAGUAACUCCUGUGGGAGGCCUAGCUGGGACACCAUCAUUGGCACAACCCCUGUUCUCAGGCAGGUUUUCAGCCCAUUUCAAGGACUAGCUCAGCUCCUGCCUCUAGAGCUUUGGUCUGCUUGGAAACUCAGAUAUCAAUAAGGCAGUUAAGAACGUACUGCCUAUCAGUGACUAAAGGAGCUGAAAAAAAAACAGGACAACAAACUCAACGGUUCAAAGAACUGUUGUUGGCUAUUUGGGCUUCUGAUUGCCUUGGCAAGAACAAACAGAGCCAUAUCACUUGGUGUCAUGAACCAUAACCUGCAAUAAUCCAUAUUCCUUAAUCCUUCAUAUAGCUGUCGCCGUGUCAUCACAAUUUAUUUUAAAAUGGUAUUCUCUAGUACUAAUCUGAGUCCUAAUCAUUCAUAUUAAUGUUAGCAUUAGAGUGAAUUAGGGCAUUAUUUGCCUAAUAUGUGCCAUAUGUGACACUUAAGUACUUGUAAGUAAUUGCACAUGAGAGAAGACAGCAUUAAAUGUGAAUGGCACAUGCAGUAUGAAAAAUGGAAGAGACAAAUAUUAAACUUUUAAUAGAAAUAACUUCAGCAAAACUUUCCCACAGGCAACAGAACUGAUAUUUUUAGAUAGUUGAGGCCAAUGUAUGUUAAGAAUAGCAUUCAGUGCAGUGGGAAAAUACACAAUUUCUAUUAUGGGGCAGUGAGAAUAGCAACCUUCUGAUGAUAUAAAAUAUACCAGUAUAAAAUAUGUAAUUAUCUCGCAUGCAAAAGAAUAAAUCAUGUAAACUAUUUACA